rnacentral:rRNA from 1 species
AAAUCUAUAUGAAAAAAUUAUAUAUAUAAAUAAAAUUUUAUGAUUUAUAAAAAUUUAAUUUAAAUUUAUUUUACAUGUAAAUUUUAGUAUUAAUUUUUAAUUAUUUUAAUAAUAAUUAUUUAAAAAUUUGCAGUAAUUAAAAUUAAAAAUUUAAGAAAUUAAGAUUUAGUGAUAUUUAAUUUAUUAACAAAUUUUGUGCCAGCAGUUGCGGUUAUACAAAAAAUAAUUUAAAUUUUAUCAGUAUGUAAUUAAUAGAAAUUAUUAUUUAAAUUAAAUAUUAAAUUAUUAAGUGAAAUUUUAAUUUAAUUAAAAUUUAUAUUAAUUUUAUGAUUUAUUAAAUUUUAUAAAAAACUAGGAUUAGAUACCCUAUUAUUAAAAAUUAAAUUUAUAAUACUAAAAUAGUAGAUAAUAAUUUAUUGAAACUUAAAUAAUUUGGCGGUAUUUUAGUUCAUUUAGAGGAAUCUGUUUAAUAAUUGAUAAUCCACGAAUAAAUUUACUUAAUUUAUUAUUUUGUAUAUCGUUGUUAAAUAAAUAUUUUUUAAUAAAAAUAAUAUUUAAAAAUUUUUAUAUAAAAUUAAUUCAGAUCAAGAUGCAGAUUAUAAUUAAGAAUAUAAUGGAUUACAAUAAAUAAAUUUAAAUGAAUAAUAUUUUUUAAUAAAUAUUUGAAGGUGGAUUUAAAUGUAAUUUUAAUUAAUUUAUUAAAAUGAUUAUAAAUUAAAAUAUGUACAUAUUGCCCGUCGCUUUCAUUAAUAAAUUGGAAUAAGUCGUAACAAAGUAGAGGUACUGGAAAGUGUUUCUAGAAAGAA